UUUUCUAAAACUUAUAUAGUGGUUGCAUUAGGUUUUACAACAUACAUUUUUAAAUAAUUUGAAUCCACUUUCUAAUAAUAUACAACUUCACCUGUAGUGUAAGGAUCUAAUAACAUAUUCUCAAUUCUUCCCUCUCAUUCCUUUGUCAUUAUUGUCAUGUUCUUGCUAGUACAUAUGCUAUAAACACCUAAUACAUUGUUAAUGUUAUUUCUUUGAACUGUCAGUUAUUUUUAGAGCAAUUAAAAAUAAGAAAAAUAGACAGAAACCUCAAACUCCUGGGCUCAAGCAAUCCUGCCUCAGCCUCCCGAGUAGCUGGGACUACAGGGUCUUCAGGCAGAGAGGAACAGACCAACAAAAAAUAUGAUUAACAUCAAUAGCACCCUACAAGAGUUCUUUGGUCAUGCCAUUAAGGCUGCAUAUCCAGAUUUGGAAAAUCCUCCUCUGAUAGUGACACCAAGUCAGCAGCCCAAGUUUGGGGACUAUCAAUGUAACAGUGCUAUGGGUAUUUCUCAGAUGUUCAAAGCCAAGGAACAGAAAGUUAAUCCAAGAGAAAUUGCCAAAAACAUUACCAGACACUGCCCAGACAGUGAAUGUGUUGAAAAAGUUGAAAUUGCUGGUCCUGGUUUUAUUAAUGUCCACUUGAAAAAGGAUUUUGUGUCAGAACAGCUGAUUAAUCUCCUGGUGAAUGGAAUUCAACUACUUGCUCUUGGAGAGAAUAAAAAGGUUGUUGUUGACUUUUCCUCUCCCAGUAUAGCUAAAGAGAUGCACGUAGGCCACCUCAGAUCAACUAUAAUAGGAAAGAGUUUGUGCCGCCUCUUUGAAUUUGCAGGAUAUGACGUGCUCAGGUUAAAUCAUGUAGGAGAUUAGGGCACCCAGUUUGGCAUGCUCAUCGCUCACCUGCAAGAUAAAUUUCCAGAUUAUCUAACAGUUUCACCCCUAUUGGGGAUUUUCAGGCCUUCUAUAAGGAAUUUAAGAAGAGGUUUGAUACUGAGGAGGAAUUUAAGAAGAGCAUAUCAGUGGGUAGUUCUGCUCCAGAGUAAAAGUCCAGAUAUUGUAAAAGCUUGGAAGCUUAUAUGUGAUGUCUCCCUCCAAGAGUUUAAUAAAAUCUACAAUGCAUUGGCCAUCUCUUUUUAGAGAGAGUGGGGAAUCGUUCUAUCAAGAUAGGAUGGAUGAUGUUGUAAAGGAAUUUGAAAAUAGAGGAUUUGUGCAAGCGGAUGAUGGCAGAAAGAUCGUGUUUGUCCCAGGGUGUUCCAUACCGUUAACCAUAGUAAAAUCAGAUGGGAGAGUAUACCUAUGAUACAUCUGACCUGGCUGCUCUUAAGCAAAGACUAUUUGAGGAAAAAGCAGAUAUGAUUAUCUAUGUGGUGGACAAUGGACAAUCUGUGUACUUCCAGGCAAUAUUUGCUGCUGCUCAGAUGAUCAGUUGGUAUGACCCUAAAGUAACUCCAGUGACCCAUGCUGGAUUUGGUGUGGUGCUAGGGGAAGACAAGAAGAAGUUUAAAACACAUUCAGGUAAAACAGUGCGCCUCAUAGACCUUCUGGAAGAAGGACUAAAAUGAUCCAUGGACAAAUUGAAGGAAAAAGAAAGAGACAAGGUCUUAACUGCAGAGGAAUUGAAGGCUGCUCAGACAUCCAUUGCUUAUGGCUAUAUCAAAUAUGCUGACCUUUCCCAUAGCCAGUUGAAUGACUACAUCUUCUCCUUUGAUAAGAUGCUGGAUGAUAAAGGAAACACAGCUGCUUACUUGUUGUAUGCCUUCACGAGAAUCAGGUCUAUUGCACGCCUGGGCCAGUAUCAAUGAAGAGAUGCUCCAGAUAGCUGCUCGAGAGACCAAGAUCAUUUUGGACCACGAAAAGGAAUGGAAAUGGGGCUGGUGCAUUUUACAAUUCCCUGAGAUUGUGCAAAAAAUUUUAGAUGACUUAUUUCUCCACACUCUCUGUGAUUACAUUUAUGAGCUGGCAACUACUUUCACAGAGUUCUAUGAUAGCUGCUACUGUGUGGAGAAAGAUCAACAGACUAGAAAAAUAUUGAAGGUGAACAUUUGGUGUAUGCUGUUUGUGUGAGGCGGUAGCUGCUGUCAUGGCCAAGGGGUUUGAUAUCCUGGGAAUAAACCUGUCCAAAGGAUGUAAUCCUUCAGUUUGAACACCUUGUGUUGUUACCAAAGUGGCCAUUAGCACUGUUUGCUUUUUUACAAUCAUGUGAAUACAAAAACAAGUAAAGAAAAUUUGUCAACUAAAAAAAAAAUAAGAAGAAAAAUAUAGAUCACAUUUUAGUAGAGGUUUUAGAACAGAGGAAUGUCAUAGUCGUUUUAAAAUGUAACGACUAUCACUGUGGUUGCUUUAAGAGGGGAACAAAGAGAUCAGCUUAGGAGGCUGUUGUGAUCUAAUUGAGACAUUUUAGUGGUUUGUUCCAAGCUCAGGUUAAGUAACUCAGAAGGGUGCACUAGAUAGGACAUCCAGGAAUCUUUUGUGUCUACUUCAAAAUCUCACAAUUUUUCAUUAUAGCUGAAAUAUUUAGAUUUAAAGCUACUUCAAACUAUUUGAAUAAGACGUUCACAUUAAAGCAUUAAAAACAUGA